rnacentral:rRNA from 1 species
UACGUAGGGUGCAAGCGUUGUCCGGAUUUACUGGGCGUAAAGCGCGUGUAGGCGGCUUCGCAAGUCGGAUGUGAAAGCCCACGGCUCAACCGUGGAAGUGCAUCCGAAACUGCAUGGCUUGAGUCUCGGAGAGGAAGGUGGAAUGCUUGGUGUAGAGGUGAAAUUCGUAGAUAUCAAGCAGAACACCUGCGGCGAAGGCGGCCUUCUGGACGAUGACUGACGCUGAGACGCGAAAGCGUGGGGAGCAAACAGG